UGGCCGCGGUAUUUUGACCGUGCGAAGGUAGCAUAAUAAUUAGUCUGUUAAAUGUAGUCUGGAAUGAAGGGUUUGACGGGGGACAGCUUUCUUGUUUUUAUUUUUGAAUUUGAAUUAUUGGUAAAAAUGCCAAUAUAGUGUAGGAGGACGAGAAGACCCUAUAGAGCUUUAUAUUACACUAAUUUUAUGUAGGGUAUGGUAUUAGAUAAUAUUUUGUUGGGGCGACAGCAAAUAUAAAACAUUUGUGAAGUUUGUCUAUUUAUAAGGUGGUUUGAUCCAUUUGUAAUGAUAAAAGACUAAGUUACCUUAGGGAUAACAGCGUAAUUUUAUCUUAGAGUUCUUAUCGAUGAUAAAGGUUGCGACCUCGAUGUUGGAUUAGAAUUCCUUUUUGUGGCGCAGGAGCCUUAAGGGGUAGUCUGUUCGACCAAACACCAC
rnacentral:rRNA from 1 species